UUUGUUUUUUUAUUUUUUAUCUUAUAUGUUUUUACGUUGUUUUAUUUUGUUUAUCCUAGUUUUUUUUUUUCUUUUGUGUAACAUCUGAAAAAUAUAGUAUAUUACUAUAUAAAAGUGUUAUCACAAUUUCAAUAUUAAUAAGAACAGUUAAGACAGGUAGGAAAUAAAAUAAGUUUUACAGUCAUCCCAAAAUAACUAUAAAAGUCACUUUAUUUACAAACUAGUUUUUAACAAAACUAUAUACAAUAACACAAUAUAAGGAAAUUACACCAGCUGCUCCACCAUCUAAUGCCUGCUCCAUUGAGAUCUCAUCACCUUCUACUCACACCCACAUGAUGAUCAUCGCCAAACCAAACCAAAGCAACAAAAUAGCAAAUACAAACAACAAGAAAAAGGUAAGCUAGAUUUUGAAACAAGUUAUAGAUCAUUUAAAAUCAAUCAAGCAAGAACCAUUCAAACAUUGGUUCCAGACCCCAAACUUUCGCUCAACGACAUAACUCAUUGUACGAAUAAAACUCCCAAUGAUCCUAGACUCCAACCUCUCGCUCAAGGACCCAACCCGUUAGGCAAGAGCAAAGACAGUGGUCCAGAACCCCGCAACUUACUCGCUCAGUGACCCUACUCGCUAGGCAAGAGCAGAAACAGUGGCCC
rnacentral:lncRNA from 1 species